UGAAGUGGGGGAUAACGCAUCGAAAGAUGUGCUAAUACCGCAUAUUCUCUGAGGAGGAAGUAGGGGAUCGAAAGACCUUAUGCUUUUGGAUCGGCCGAUGUCUGAUUAGCUAGUUGGUAGGGUAAUGGCUUACCAAGGCGACGAUCAGUAGUUGGUCUGAGAGGACGACCAGCCACACUGGGACUGAGACACGGCCCCAGACUCCUACGGGAGGCAGCAGUGGGGAAUUUUGGACAAUGGGCGCAAGCCUGAUCCAGCAAUGCCGCGUGAGUGAAGAAGGCCUUCGGGUUGUAAAGCUCUUUCAGUUGAGAAGAAAAAGUCGUGACUAAUAAUCAUGAUUCAUGACGGUAUCAACAGAAGAAGCACCGGCUAACUACGUGCCAGCAGCCGCGGUAAUACGUAGGGUGCAAGCGUUAAUCGGAAUUACUGGGC
rnacentral:rRNA from 1 species